GGCGAGGAGCCCGCGGGCGGCCGGUCGGGCGGGGCGGCGGCGCUGACAGCAUCCUGAGGUUAGCAUUACACUUCUCCCAGUGGAGCCCAUGACUUCUGAUCAGGACGCUAAGGUUGUGGCUGAACCGCAGACGCAGAGAGUCCAGGAGGGCAAGGACAGCGCUCAUCUGAUGAAUGGUCCUAUAUCUCAAACCACUUCUCAGACAAGUUCCAUCCCACCUUUGAGUCAGAAAACACUCCUCAGCUACUGGUGUCAGAGGACGGUGUUGUUUGGGGAUGGCAUGAUAGAGAUGGACAGUUCGUAAGUACCAGCAACUAAGGUUUCAGAGCUGAACCCUAAUGCAGAAGUGUGGGGGGCUCCUGUGUUACAUCUGGAAGCAAGCAGUGCUGCUGACGGUGUGAGUGCUGCGUGGGAGGAGGUG
rnacentral:sRNA from 1 species